CUUCGGGGGACGUUAACGGCGUCGAGCGGCGGACGGGUGAGUAAUGCCUAGGAAAUUGCCCUGAUGUGGGGGAUAACCAUUGGAAACGAUGGCUAAUACCGCAUGAUGCCUACGGGCCAAAGAGGGGGACCUUCGGGCCUCUCGCGUCAGGAUAUGCCUAGGUGGGAUUAGCUAGUUGGUGAGGUAAGGGCUCACCAAGGCGACGAUCCCUAGCUGGUCUGAGAGGAUGAUCAGCCACACUGGAACUGAGACACGGUCCAGACUCCUACGGGAGGCAGCAGUGGGGAAUAUUGCACAAUGGGCGCAAGCCUGAUGCAGCCAUGCCGCGUGUGUGAAGAAGGCCUUCGGGUUGUAAAGCACUUUCAGUCGUGAGGAAGGUUUAGGCGUUAAUAGCGUAUAGAUUUGACGUUAGCGACAGAAGAAGCACCGGCUAACUCCGUGCCAGCAGCCGCGGUAAUACGGAGGGUGCGAGCGUUAAUCGGAAUUACUGGGCGUAAAGCGCAUGCAGGUGGUUUGUUAAGUCAGAUGUGAAAGCCCGGGGCUCAACCUCGGAAUAGCAUUUGAAACUGGCAGACUAGAGUACUGUAGAGGGGGGUAGA
rnacentral:rRNA from 1 species